AUUGAACGCUGGCGGCAGGCCUAACACAUGCAAGUCGAACGAGUGGCGGACGGGUGAGUAAUGUUUGGGAAUCUGCCUUAUGGCGGGGGAUAACUACGUGAAACUGUAGAUAAUACCGCAUACCCUAAGAUGUGCCCAGGUGGGAGUAGGUAGUUGGUGGGGUAACGUCUCACCAAGGCGACGCUCGCUAGCUGGUCUGAGAGGAUGACCAGCCACACUGGGACGGAGACACGGCCCAGACUCCUACGGGAGGCAGCAGUGGGGAAUAUUGCGCAAUGGGCGCAAGACUGACGCAGCCAUGCCGCGUGAAUGAAGAAGGCCUUCGGGUUGUAAAGUUCUUUCGGUAGGGAGGCGUUACCUACAGAAGAAGCACCGGCUAACUCCGUGCCAGCCGCCGCGGUAAUUC
rnacentral:rRNA from 1 species